CGAAGUCCCGGAAGGAAGCUCUGCAAAUGUGCGCUCAGGGCUUGUCAAAUGAGCAGAAGGGCGGUUAAGUAACAAAGUAACUGCGGAGUCAGGCGCGGAGGGGAACAGCGUCUCUAACCACGGCGACCCUGUUCUUCUCUGGGCGCUUCCACUGAGUUAUUAGAUCAGCACUUGGCUGAGAUGGGAGUGGAAGAACCCGGGAGGGAACGGGCCCAGGUCUUCAUGUAGAAAAAGGGGCCCUGGCCCCUCGGGGUAUUCAGGGCGCCGACCACCACGGCCUCGUCGCCCUUUUCCCCUAAAGCCCUGGAGGAAGGCACUCUCUGGCCUGAAGUUCGCCUGUCCACUGGUGAUACCACCCGCCGCAGCGUUUCCAGCUGGGAAGGAGUUGGACAUGACCGUACCCGCAACAGCUGCGCUCAGCACUGCCCGGGGCUGCCCCCAUCCCUACCCCUACCCCGGGGGCUCCGGAAACCCCCCACAACCCCCGCAGAUUUACCAAAAUCCAGGGACCCUCUUACCCCCCCUCCCCUCCUCCCCAGGUCACCCACAGACACACACACAUUUCCUGCCCUGCCAAAAAUAAAGCUGGAGGGCGCUGGGGGUGCGCUUGCCACCAGCCCCUCCGGGGAGACUGCUGCCUCGCUGCACCCCUCCAGUGAGAGGACCACCCCCUUCAUUUCUGCUGCCUUCCUCCUCCUUUGCUUUGGUGGAUGUCACCCUGGCUCUGCCAAGGCCCUGGUGGAGGUUGCUCUCAAGGCAUGGGCUGGAACCCUGCCCCUCUUCUGCUAAAGACACAUAGCCCUCCUUCCUUAUAAAAGCAGUUAUACGG
rnacentral:lncRNA from 10 species